UCCUCUUUAUGAUGGGAAAAAUGAUCCAUUGGCUUGGCUAAGUCGUUGUGACCAUUUUUUUCAACACCAACAUAUUCCAGAGGAGGA
rnacentral:sRNA from 1 species